UACGGAGGGUGCGAGCGUUGUCCGGAAUCACUGGGCGUAAAGGGCGCGUAGGCGGCCUGAUAAGUAGGGGGUGAAAUCCUGCGGCUUAACCGCAGGGCUGCCUUCUAGACUGUCAGGCUAGAGCACAGUAGAGGCAGGUGGAAUUCCCGGUGUAGCGGUGGAAUGCGUAGAGAUCGGGAAGAACAUCAGUGGCGAAGGCAGCCUGCUGGGCUGUUGCUGACGCUGAGGCGCGACAGCGUGGGGAGCAAACAGG
rnacentral:rRNA from 1 species